AUGCAUCAGAUGGAUGCCCGGGCAUUGAGAGGUAAGGAUGUUUCCAAAGGCGAAAGGCCAUGGGGAGAUACCGUCCGUGAUCCAUGGAUCUCUGAUCGAGAAAUCGUAUCCAAGCCCCGUGGCUAGUCCGCGCUCCUUGGACUUGAAAGACUUAGCGAACUGAAACAUCUAAGUAUCUAGAGGAAUGAGAAUCAACCGAGACCCCUUUAGUAGCGGCGAGCGAAAGCAGAUUGGGCAAAUACUAAGCAGUGAAGGUUUUCGUUUCGAUCUUGGUCUCAUUUUCCUAGCCUUGCCUUCUCUUUGUGAUUCAUUUCAGUUCAUUAGAUGAUGGAAGAACCAAGCAUGUCGAUGCUUUGCCCUUUGAUUUAGGCUAUAAGGUAGGUAGAAUUGUGAAUGAAAAGGUUGGAAGAUCUGGCCAAAGAAGGUGAUAGCCUUGUAGAGAGUCCCAUGGUUCGAUUUUGUAAGUCAAACGCAACAUGUUUGAAUUAGGAUCGCUUCUAUGUGAGAAAGGGGGACCACCCUCUAAGCCCAAGUAUUCCUCAAUGACCGAUAGUGUACAAGUACCGUGAGGGAAAGGCGAAAAGAACCCUAGGAAAGGGAGUGCAAUAGAAAGAAAUCCGAUGCAAAGAAUUAGUCGAAGGAGCGAAGCUUCGGGUAAGAUUCUCAGGGUCUAAUUUGACCGGAAAGACCCUAUCACUUUGGUCGAGCGACUCCGUCCCUCACCCACGAUGAGUGAGCUAACUUCGUUCCUCUAUUUGUUUCAAAUACCUGAGCAGAGCUCAGGGUUGGGUUGACUUGGACGCAUCUCACCCUAACGAUGUACCUUUUGCAUAAUGGGUCAGUGAGUAAAUGGGAACAACGUCUUAAGCCAUUAGGUGUUGGCGCUUUCUAGCCAGGGAAUAUCCCAGUUUUGACUAUUUGACCCGAAAUCGAUCGAUCUAGCCAUGCACAGGUUGAAGAGAGCUCCAACAGGGCUUGGAGGACCGAACCCACGUAUGUGGCUAAAUACGGGGAUGACUGGUGGCUAGGGGUGAAAUUCCAACCAAGAUCGGAUAUAGCUGGUUUUCUGUGAAAUCUAUUUCAAUAGAGCGUGCGUAUAAUAUGGCCUGAGGUAGAGCACUCAAUGGGCUAGGGUGGCCCAAAGCUUUACCAACCCCAAGGAAACUUCGAGUACAAUCUUAAUCAAUCGUACAGAUAGACUUUGGGUGCUAAGAUCCAGAGUCGAGAGGGAAACAACCUAGAUCAUACACUAAGGUCCCUAAGCAAUCGCUUAGUGGAAAAGGAAGUGAUCGAGCGAUGACAACCAGUAGGUGGGCUUGGAAGCAACCAUCCUUCGAAGAAAUCGUAAUAGCUCAUUGGUCUAGCUCCAUGGCACCGAAAAUGUAUUGGGGCUCAAGUGAUUCAUCGAAGCGACGAGACCUUGGAAGCGUUAAGCGAGCUCUAAAGACCCAAGGUUCUUUAUUUCUCACCCGAAGAAUGAGGGUGAGGAGAGCGUUUAACUCGUCUCGACCAAAGGGAGAGGAGGGCGAGUAAGCGAGGCGCCAACCAAGUGUCAGUAGCAGGACGUUCUGUCAAUCGGGGAAGGGACAACACCUGGAGAUAUUAGAAGUGAGAAUGUUGACAUGAGUAACGAUGAAUCAUGUGAAAAACACGAUCGCUUGCCAGUUCCAGGGUUUCUGCGUUCAGUCAAUCUACGUAGAGUGAAUUGGUCCGUAAGGAACCCCCGAAAGGGCUUUCGUCCAAUGGGUACACGAAAGAGACGAAGUUGCCCCGACCACUGAACCAUGCGUGUUUGUUGAAGUGAAUUGGAUGAGAGUUCGAUUUUCCCGCCAAUCAAAUUGAAUGAAUGCAAAAGCACACUUCUGUUAGGGUUUCAACUUCCAGGAAAAAACUUCGAAUUGGGAGGGCGAUCCUCCCAGUGAACUAAUCGUACCCCAAACUGACACGGGUGAGCAAAUAGAGUAUACUAGGGCGCUUGAGAGAACCAUGUUGAAGGAACUCGACAAAAUGACCCCGUAACUUUGGGAGAAGGGGUGCUCUCCCUCCUAUCUUUGGGUUGAGAAAGCGGCACAUACCAGGGGGUGUAACACCCUGUUUCCCCCAGCUUGUAAAUAUA
rfam:Picea glauca, whole genome shotgun sequence.